CAAUGCUGGAUCCUUAACCCACUGAGCGAGGCCAGGAAUCAAACCUGAGUCCUCAUGGAUAGUAGUUGGGGUCAUAACCUGCUGAGCAGCAACAGGAACUCCCUACUUUUCCUUUUUUGUUUUUUGCUUCUUUUUGAUAAAACCCACAGUUCCUUAGGUAAUAAAGUUUUAAGACAUCUUUUGCAGAGUUCCUGUUGUGGCUCAGUGGGUUAAGAAUCCAACUAGUAUCCAUGAGGACUCAAGUUCGAUCCCUGGCCUCACUCUUUAUGUUAAAGAUCCAGCAUUGCCUGUGAGCUGUGGUGUAGGUCACAGAUGCGGCUUAGAUCCUGCAUUGCUGUGGCUGUGGUAUAGGACACAGCUGCAGCUCUGAUUCAAACCCUAGCCUGGGAACUUCCAUAUGCUAAAGGUUAUGCCCCAAAAAGAAAAAAAAAAAAUAGGUUUUAUAACGUUUGGCUUGUUUGAGCUACGAGAAAAACUAUUUUGGAAGAAUAUAUGUGAUAUGUGGGCCUAAAUCUCUUUUGUCAGGAAGUAUUACCAUCAUGCCAUCAGGUUGUUUGUGUGUCAUUGUUAGAAUUUCCUGUGAUCACAGUUUUAAAAAAUUUUAUUCUUCAACUUUUACGCAGCCAUCUAUUUUUAAUACUGAAAUAGUUAAGUGUUUUUGGUUUUGAUGGAAAGUUGAUAAGACCUACAUAAUGAAUGUUUGUUUCUAGUUGUCCACAGUUAAAAGUAAUGAUAAUUUGGGUGGAAUUCUUAUUUGAAUUUUCUUAUCCAUUACUGGCUCCAUAGAAGAUCUCCAAAUCCUUUGCAAGUCAUCAAACUAACCUGGGUAAAAGGAUCAUAGUUCUUAAACCUUUUUUUAGCAUACUAAGGCUAGAGAUUAUAGUAGCAAAUGUAACUUGCUGACUAACUGGAGGGACAACGAUGGACCUUUUGAAAUUAAUGGAAGGUGAAAUUCUUUAAAAAUAUUAAAAAAUAAAAAUAAAGGAGAGAAGGACUUUAGAAGGCUUUUAGGACUUUAUCACAUCCAGGGCAGCAACAGAAUCACUGACAUGGCAACUAAAGCAGAUGUGUGCAGCAUCCCAUUUUGCUCAGUAUGCUCAGGAGUAGUAAUUUUAUUGUUCCACUCUGAUUAAAAUACAGGUAAGCAUUGCUGUUAGCCUUAAAAGAACAGUUCACUGAUAAGAAACCCUGCAAUUAUUUGCAACAAGCAUUUGAAGAAAAACAACCCACAGUGAAAGCUAGAAAUGUGUAUACCCUAAAAGAAAACUGUAGAGCUACAGGCAGGAAGAAGACAUGCUUAUCAUGAAUAUCUCAAGUGGAGCCAGUUGGAGACAGGGAACUAAGAUGAGACCUACUUUGUCUUGUAUUGGCUAAACCACCCUUAACCCUUACCCCUGUACCAGUGUUAGUGUACCAAUUAUGUAUGCUAUGAAGGAAAAGUAAUUGGGUCUUUUAAAUUUCUCCUUCUUCUUGUAAGGACAUCUGGGCAAACAUUUUCAUGACUGUGCUUUAAAGACCUGCAGCUUUUUUAUUUAGUGUACUUUCUCCACUUCCAAAUGCAAUUAGUUGUGUGGUUGUUAUUGGCAACAUUUGUUUUAAGAUAAGUAUAACAGCAAGAUGUUUGGGAAAAAAAAGAAAAAAAAAAGGCUUAAUAGGAAUAUCCAUGGUACCUACGCAAGUUUAGAGUAACUCACAGC
rnacentral:lncRNA from 1 species